rnacentral:rRNA from 1 species
GGAGCUUGCUCCCGGAUGUUAGCGGCGGACGGGUGAGUAACACGUGGGUAACCUGCCUGUAAGACUGGGAUAACUCCGGGAAACCGGAGCUAAUACCGGAUAGUUCCUUGAACCGCAUGGUUCAAGGAUGAAAGACGGUUUCGGCUGUCACUUACAGAUGGACCCGCGGCGCAUUAUCUAGUUGGUGGGGUAAUGGCUCACCAAGGCGACGAUGCGUAGCCGACCUGAGAGGGUGAUCGGCCACACUGGGUACUGAGACACGGCCCAGACUCCUACGGGAGGCAGCAGUAAGGAAUCUUCCGCAAUGGACGAAAGUCUGACAGAGCAACGCCGCGUGAGUGAUGAAGGUUUUCGGAUCGUAAAGCUCUGUUGUUAGGGAAGAACAAGUGCGAGAGUAACUGCUCGCACCUUUACGGUACCUAACCAGAAAGCCACGGCUAACUACGUGCCAGCAGCCGCGGUAAUACGUAGGUGGCAAGCGUUGUCCGGAAUUAUUGGGCGUAAAGGGCUCGCAGGCGGUUUCUUAAGUCUGAUGUGAAAGCCCCCGGCUCAACCGGGGAGGGUCAUUGGAAACUGGGAAACUUGAGUGCAGAAGAGGAGAGUGGAAUUCCACGUGUAGCGGUGAAAUGCGUAGAGAUGUGGAGGAACACCAGUGGCGAAGGCGACUCUCUGGUCUGUAACUGACGCUGAGGAGCGAAAGCGUGGGGAGCGAACAGGAUUAGAUACCCUGGUAGUCCACGCCGUAAACGAUGAGUGCUAAGUGUUAGGGGGUUUCCGCCCCUUAUUGCUGCCGCUAACGCAUUAAGCACUCCCCCCUGGUGAGUA